AAAUUUUAAUGUCACUAUCUAAGUAAUGUUCUCAAUAUUAUAUGAAUUUGAGAGAUCAUUUUUCUGAUAGGACUUCAUAAAAAGAAAGUAAAUGAAAAUCACACUUAUAAUAUUUUAGAAGAAUAGAAGACAAUAACACAAAUGGGAUUCUCAAAGAUAUUUAAUGGAAUAAUUGAUCACAUAUCAUGAGGGAAGAUAAAGAAGUAACCCUCAUAAAGAAACAUGAAUAAAUGUAUGCUUGAAAAAUAUGUCCAUUGGAUCUCAAGAAGAAUUCAUGAUUCAAUUACUAAAAUAAAGUUAAUAUAAAAAUUAAUUAGAAUUUAAAAGAUAUAGAAUUGUAAAAUAUAGAACUUUCCUGAGUUUUGAAGACCAGAACCAAUUUCAAAUUUAGCAUGUCAAGGACUUUUUGCAUGUAUUAAAGCUUAAACAAACUAUCAUAAUCAAAUAAUAACAGUAAAUUUUAUUAUAAGUAAAUAUUGCUUUUUAUAUAUACUUUUAGAGAAAUAGAUUACUUGAUGAAGUCUGAAUAAGUUAUUGGAAUUCAGUUAUAUGGCAGCUCAAUAGAAGGCCUUUCCCAAAUGAGAUAAUCACAAUCUUAAGAUUUUGAGAUUCUAUAUUCAUCUUUACUGAUUUCCACCAUCAUAUCUCUUCCUCUAUCAUUUCCAAUUAAUGGAUGUCCCACAAUCAGAAAUUUUAUUUCUAUUACUAAAAAAUAUUUAUUUUAUCUGUAAUGAAAUAAAAGAUAUAUAUAUUUCCAUGUUUGCAGGCAAAUUCUACAAAGAUAAAAGUAUCAAUAGGAACCCAUCAGUAAGUAUCAUAACAGAACUUUGCUUAAAUUUAUGACUAUAUUUAAAACACUACAGAUAUGUUGAUGAUACAUGUAUAGCAUGGGAGUAAGAAAAUGGAGCAGUUGGUUUACUGGAUUGCAGUUAGAGAUGUCUGAAGAGUUCAUAGGCCAGCAUUUAAACAUUGAGCUAGCUAACUCAGAUGCAGUUCAUUUUCUAUGUAUAUUUAAGAAUAAUAGAAAGAGAAUAUGUUACAAAAAUUUAUUGCAAACCACCUUAUGUACUAAUCGUCAUUUUGGUUUUGUCUAAUGAUUCCAUCUAUAUAAAUCUGCAUUCGUAACAUAUUUGAUGAUUUUUAGUCAUUUCAGCACAAAAAGAAUAGCAAAAGGAAUAUAUUUGAAAUAUAGAACCACAUAAUGAUAAAGUAAAAAGAUUUUUCAAAAGGUCAGUUAUGAAAUGCUUCAAAAAUUUGAAAAUUAACACUUGAAUCAAAAGAAAUACACUGAUUUUCAUAAAUUAAGGUCAACUGGAUGGCCAUGUGUUAAAGCAAUAGCUUAUCAACCUGAAUGAUUUGGAUUCAAUUCCAGUUCCCACUCCUCCAGCUUUUCAGGAGAGAUCCAUUCCCAGACCAUUGAAUCCCCAUUCUUCAGCCUUUCGGUUGACCCAAUUAUGGGUGUUGAUCAGUUCUCAUAUGCUCUAAAAUGACUAUGACUGCUACCAGGUAUAGAAUAUCCCAAGUGUAAUAUGACAAUUUAACUAACAUAACCUAAUCAUAAAUUAAGGUAAAACAGAAAAAUCAUAAUAUCUGAACAAAUAAUAUUUAUUUUUUCUAAAAUUAUUGAAAAUAUUUAUUAUUUAGCUUAUUAAAGGAUUAAAAAAUAGGGAAUAUAAAACAUUUAUAUUUUACAAAAAUUAGAAUAUUGCAGAAUAAGACCAAAAAUGGUAAGUGAAAAUGAAAUAGUCAAAAUAGCUCAAUAUGGAGUAUGAUCACCUCUCACAGCAUUGUAGAACCUGCAAUGAUGUUUCAUAUUGUUUAUGAUACUACUUAUCAAUUUAGUUGAUAGGAGUAACUAUUAUUCUUGCAUAGCAUUUUUUAACUCACCAAAGUCUUUGAGGAGGGUUGAGAGCAGCUAUACAUUCCCUAGAGCAGCAGUUGGCACCUUUUUAGAUAUUGCGGACCACUAAAUUUGCAAUUUAAAAUUUUGUGGACCAUUAAAAAA
rnacentral:lncRNA from 1 species